UACGUAGGGACCAAGCGUUGUUCGGAUUUACUGGGCGUAAAGGGCGCGUAGGCGGCAUGACAAGUCACUUGUGAAAUCUCCGGGCUUAACUCGGAACGGUCAAGUGAUACUGUCGCGCUAGAGUGCGGAAGGGGCAAUCAGAAUUCUUGGUGUAGCGGUGAAAUGCGUAGAUAUCAAGAGGAAUACCUGAGGUGAAGACGGGUUGCUAGGCCGACACUGACGCUGAAGCGCGAAAGCGUGGGGAGCGAACAGG
rnacentral:rRNA from 1 species